UGAUAACAUUUUCUUCCGAUGUUUGGGAUGAAGAUAUUUGUGUGGUAACCACCCCACGCUUGCAUAAUAUUUCCCUGGCUCCGUCAACAAAUUCUUUUUGGUUGAAAAAAGUCUGAAUUCAAAUCUGUGACUUCCAUAACAAAAACACAUAAGUUUACUGAUAGUCCCUUAGACUUGGAUAAGGUUUUGAAGUAUCUCCAUGUUGAUGUUUCUCUCAAAUUAUUGGGAUGGGCCCAACUAUCCAUUAGGUUUACACAUCUGGGAGUUGACCCCAAUGUUUGUAAGAUAGCAGAGGUAGUUGGUUGAUUUGAGGUCUCUGGACAAUACCUCCCAAUUCCCCGGAUUGAUUGUAACAGUCGGAGUUGUUGAUGACCAAGAAGAUUGCUCAGGUUUCCAGGAUGACAAGAUAUCCGACACAUCAGGAUGGCGAUAAAUGGAUGUUGUAGGGUGUACUUCCCCAGCGAACAUCAGUGAAUUCAGCAGACAAUUCUGAAACAUGAAGUCAUAAUUGACAUCUCCUAAGAAUGCUAAUUUGUUUGUAGUUGCGAUCAUUCGUGUCAAUUUAGAUGGAUUCUGUGCUGCAUAUCCUCCGCUGCUUUGUCGGGAGCAGUUGAAUCUAUGAAGUGCGGAUCCUGUUCGCUUGAAUCUAUGAAUGGUGCUAGCCCAAUCCUCUCCGGUGAGGGACAUUAGAUUUUCAAUUAUGGAUUGGGCUAAAUUGCUGGUAGGUUCGAUAAACCAUCCUAUAGAAUUCCUAAGG